UGAUCCAUUAAGUAUUCCCCAGGAACCCUCAUUACCGUCUUUAAGUCGCAGAAUCGUGAAGAGCGGAGCAAUGGAACAGGACCGCCACCCACUAGCGGGGGUUUUCAAUCAAGUUGGUGACCUGCAGUUUUGGCUGAUUUCAAGGUGGGUUGUCGCUUUUCCUUUCUCUGGUAGUCUUCCGAUUUGGCUGAAUCUUCGGUAGUGGAAUGGGCGUGGUCGGAGCCUCGUAGAUUGAAGUUCGGCUUUUCUGAGCGACUGUAUGUUGCCAUUUUUUCUUCAUGGAGGUUUUCUGGUGUGGUAAGUUCCUCUGUAGUCGAAUGGGUGUCGGAUGGAACCUGCAGAAUGGAGAUCAUCCCGUUUUGUCCGGCUUGGGGGUCUUGUUUCUCACGGAGUGUUGCACUGUAUCGAUGUUUUUUCCUUGCUGAGAAUGGAGAUCACCACUGUUUUGAUCAGUCUUGGGGCUCUAUUUUUAACGAAGUGUUUGCACUGAACCCCUGUUCUUCCCUUGCUGAGAUAAUAGGUGGAAUUGAGGGUGAAAUACCACAAUUCAUUGUCAAUCCUGCAAUUCCAACCACAGAGCUCCCUUCAAUCCGUCACAAUUUUCUAUAGCAAAUUAACCUUAGUCAAAAUCAGCACCUGCAGACCUGGAAAUGGAAGGGGCAGAAGAGAAUGAAUUGCGUCUAGCAGCUUUAUGUAAAAGCCUAGGACAUUUGUGGUCGGAGAAUGAUAUAGUGGAAGUGAUUAAAGAUAUUCCCCCUGAAAAAAGAGCAGAAUGUAAUCGAACCCUCUUCGGAAAACUCUUUUCCAAACCUAAUGUCAACUUCCCAGCGUUAUGUCAAACUAUGAAGACAGCAUGGAAAGCAAACUCUGUGAUAUGCACACAAAAGGAACUAGGUUUGUUCUCUUUCCUUUUUCAGUCGGAGGAGGAAAAAGAGAGAGUAUUGAAGUCAGGGCCAUGGUCAUUCAACAGCAACCUAUUAGUUCUCAAACAAUGCGUACCUGACAUCCCAGAGCACUGUUAUGAUUACACUUGCGGUGCUUUUUGGGUGCGCAUUGGAGGGAUUCCCCCUGGAUGGCUAUUAAAUGAAGUCUUUAACGAUCUAGCAAAAAAGGUGGGCAAAGUUCUGGAGAUUCAAGUGGACCCAAAGGGCAGUGGACUACAGAAAAGUGGCAGAGUACGUGUGGAAGUGGACCUAUCAGCUCCUCUAAAAUCAGGAGCCAUCUUGGAUAUCGGAAACAAAAAGCUCUGGGUGGAAUUCAAAUACGAAAGACUGCCCCAUUAUUGCUAUUCGUGUGGAAAAAUUGGCCAUUAUGCUACAAACUGUGAAGAAAUCCCAUAUGAACAAACUGCUUGGGCUGAAAACAAAGUGGGGAAAUACGGUCCAUGGCUCAAGGCGGAAGUGCAAGGUCAUAGCCCCUACUGGAACGCAUUCUAUGGAAAAUUAGAAGAUGAGUUCACUGUGGAAGAAACGGCAUUUGAAGUCCCACCUAUAACUUAUGAACUGAACCAAGUGGAUGGAGAUACAACUGAAAACACAGUAGCUCCAAAUUGCAACAAGAAGAGAGCAGAAAACUAUGAAGUGGGGGAACCACCAGAAAAAUCAGCAGACGCAACACGGAAAACCACAGAUCAUGGCAAACAGAUUGUAUGUUUCGAAGCAAACAAGCCAAUCCUAUCCAGGGUGGGGAAAAGCAGCAAAAAAAGUAUGAAAGUGCAUAAGGCAAAAAAACAGAAAUGUAUAGCAGAACAAAGCCCUCUUAUGAUUGAUGAUACGGAACUCUUGGAGACCCCAAUCCAGUUGAUUAAAGAUGGCAAUGAAUGGGCUGUGGUGGCUAGCCCUAAUAAGCCACCGACGACGACAUGAAAAUCAUAAGCUGGAAUUGUCAGGGGCUGGGCAAUCCCCUGACAUUCUAGGAGCUAAGAGCCCUUGUGGCUCUUGAAAGGCCCAACCUGGUCUUUUUAAUGGAAACAAAGAACAAAGCAACGAUGGUGGAGGGAAUAAAAAGGAGAUUGAAUUUCCAACAUCUGUUCUUAGAAGAUCCGGAAGGAAUUGCUGGAGGCUUAGCGGUAUUAUGGAGCGAAGAAGUGGUGUUAAAGGUAAAUGACAGCUCCAAAGAGUAUAUUGAUGUGGAUUGCAGAGAUCCAGUUAGUGGCUAUCAAAUGAGGAUAACCUUCCUUCAUGCUUCGACGCACUUUGGGGAGAGACUACAACUAUGGCAAAAGUUAAAGGAGAUUCAGUCUUCAAACUUUCUACCGUGGAUAUGUAUGGGAGACUUUAAUGAAAUAUUAUACGUUUGGGAGAAAGUGGGGAAAAGAGAGGCGGAUAACCAUAGAAUUGCAGCGUUUCGAGAUCUAUUAAAUGAGUGCUCCCUAAUGGAUAUGGAGAGCAAAGGGUGUGCCUACACUUGGUCCAAUAAUAGAGAGGGAGAGGCCCAUGUCAAAAAACGUUUAGAUAGAGCCUUAUGUACAAUGGAAUGGAGAAUUACCUUCCCUGCUGCUGAAGUACAGGCGCUACCAGCAAUCGGCUCAGACUAUAGCCCUCUCCUCUUGGUGUUGCAUCCUGAAAAUAAGAGAAAAAAGAGAGAUUUCAGAUUUGAAGCCUACUGGCUAGAAGAUCCAGACUAUGAAGCGAUCAUACAGAGAACAUGGAACAAAACGCCACUAAGCCAGACAAGUUUCUCAAAGAAGGUACACAACAUUUCUAAGGAGCUUGCCAAGUGGAGUAAGGAAAAAUUCGCCAACGCGCCACGUCGUAUCAAGGAGCUUAACAGAGAACUAACAGAGAUAACAAACAAGAACUCUGUAAACUCCAGCAAGCAUGAAGCACAGCAUGUUAUUGAUGAGAUAGAAAAACUUUGGCAACAAGAGGAAAAAUAUUGGGGAAUGAGAGCACGCAUCAACUGGCUGCUAUGGGGAGAUAAAAAUACGAAGUUCUUCCAUGCUACCACGGUACAAAGAAGACAAAAAAACAGAAUCAUAAUGCUGCAAAUGGAAGAUCAAAGUUGGUGCAGGGACCCGGCGGCACUCAAACAACACAUAGGGACCUUCUACCGAAACUUAUACAAUUCGGUGGGCCCUAGGAACUAUCAGCCAAUACUUAACCAGGUAUCCAGAUCAGUGAGGGAUGAAAUGAAUGAAAAACUGAUGGCAACAGUCACAUUGGAAGAGGUGGAAAAGGCGGUAUUUCAUAUGGGUUCCUUAAAGGCUCCGGGGCUUGAUGGGCUAAAUGGGCUUUUUUAUCAACAAUCUUGGGAGAAUGUUCAGCAGGAUCUAUUCCAGCUAGUGCACGACUUCUUUGAAACAGGUUGCUUUGAACCUCUCCUAAACAGAACGCAUAUUUCCUUGAUACCAAAAGUGAAAAAUCCAGAAAAUAUAGGCCAAUUCAGACCUAUCAGUCUCUGCAACGUCAGCUACAAAGUAAUCUCAAAAGUUAUGGCAAACAGACUAAAGGUUUGGCUUCCAGAGAUCAUAGAACCUGAACAGAGCGCUUUUGUUCAAGGGAGGCAAAUUCAAGACAAUAUUUUAAUAGUUUAGGAAGUAUUGCAUCAAUUGAGAAUAGCUAGAAGGAAGAAAAAGUUCCAGGCGAUACUGAAACUAGAUAUGCAGAAGGCCUAUGACAGAAUCGAAUGGGAUUUUUUGAGGGAUUGCAUGCUGAAAAUGGGCUUUUGUGAGCGGUGGGUAUCCCUUAUCAUGAAAUGCAUGUCAACGGUGUCUCUAAGUGUGAAGAUAAAUGGGGAGCCUACUCCACAAGGCGACCCUCUCUCCCCAUAUUUAUUCAUCAUAAUGGCAAAUGUUUUGACUGGGAUGAUGAACAAAGCCCUCGAAGAUGGGAGCAUUAAGGGCAUAAAGCUAAACAAGUUCUGCCCUACACUAUCCCAUUUACUCUUUGCUGAUGAUGCUAUCUUUUUCUUGAACGUGACUAUUGUGGAAUGCCAAAAUUUAGCCAAUAUUCUGAACCAGUACUGUUUUGCAUCGGGACAAGCAGUUAAUUUAAACAAAUCAGGGGUAUGUUUCAGUAGCAAUUGUCCAUUUUCUCUGAAAAGAAACCUAGCACAGCAACUCAGGGUCCCAAUUAUAGAAAAAACAGGGAAAUAUCUUGGCAUACCAACAGAGUGGGGUCAAUCCAAGAAGGAGAUGUUCGCUUGGAUCUUAGCAAGAGUAAACUCGAAGUUAGAAGGAUGGAAAGAAAAAUUACUCUCAAAAGCAGGAAAGGAGGUUUUAAUAAAAAGCGUGGUGCAAGCUCUCCCGCACUAUGCAAUGUCUGUUUUUAAAUUGCCCAUCUCCAUUUGCAAAGCUAUAGAAAAGAGAAUUGCUUCUUUUUGGUGGCAGAAAAGUGAUUCGAAGAGGGGAGUGCAUUGGAAGAAUUGGGAAACACUGAAAACCAGAAAAGAUGAGGGAGGUUUGGGGUUCAAAGAUUUGAGAAAUUUUAACCGAGCAAUGCUUGGCAAGCAAGCUUGGCGACUAGCCAAAACACCCUCAGCGCUGUGGAGCAGAGUAUUGAAAGGCAUUUAUUUUCCAAAUGGCACUUUAUGGAGGGCAAGAAAAGGGCAGCGAUCAUCUUGGGGAUGGCAAAGUAUUUUAACGGGAAGAGAAGCCAUAGAAUCAGAGGUUAAAUGGUCUGUCGGGGACGGCAAAUCUAUCAACAUCAGAGAAGACAAAUGGCUGAAAUUUGGAGUUCUCGGAGGCCCUAUUAACCAAAGUGAACCAGUGAUGGUGGCUGAACUCAUCCAUGAAGAUUUGCGGGUAUGGAAGGAUAAUUUAAUUCUGAAUUUAUUCGAAGAACAAGUAGCGAACGAGAUACUUGCAACACCUAUCAGCUCGAUUCCGAAAGAAGACAGUUUAGUGUGGAUCGGUAACAAAUCAGGGACAUACACUGUGAAGAGCGGGUACAACACAAAUCAUCCAAAGGCCACAAAAACAGAACAAAACCAAGCUACUUGCUCUUUUAAGCCGCCGAGAUCCCUCUGGACAAGGAUAUGGGGAUUAGGUAUUCCCCCAAAAUUGAGAACUUUUCUAUGGAGCCUAUGUCAAGAAGCCUUACCGACAAGAGAGAACCUGCAUAAAAGGAAAAUGCUACCCAACCCCUAUUGCACUCUCUGCGCCAAACACAUGGAGACAACUGAACAUCUCUUCCUUCUUUGUAAAUGGACUAAAAAAAUCUGGACAGACCCUCGACUCCAAAUCCACAUCGAUCCAAGCAACAUCACAAGAUUUGAUAAGUGGCUACUGGAAGUUUUCGAAAGGAGUGAUAUCUUACCUGAAACAGAACAAAUCGCUGCAGUGCUAUGGAGCAUAUGGAAAGCACGGAAUGACUCGAUUUUUCGCGGCAAGACUCCACAACCGAAAGCCAUAGUAGAUCUGGCACUUGUGUAGCAAGUAAAAUUCAGCAGAUGGCAGUCUAAGAAAGGCCAGAAACCCACUACUCGAAACAUACCCACAAGCUGGAAACCACCCGAACAGAAGAAGAUGAAGCUGAAUAUCGACGCCUCGUGGUCCUCUUUCUCAGGAUCGGCCGCUGGAAUAUUGCGCGACUCGUCGGGGAUGGUGGCCGACGGCUUUGCGGAGCAGAUCCGGGCGCUUUCCCCCCAACACGCAGAAGCCCUAGCUCUGUUACAGGGGCUGAGUUUCGUGAGUAGAAGUGCAGAUUCGCACGUGGAACAUAGCUUCGGUCAAAACAAAGGGUGGAUAGUUGAAAGUGAUAGUUCCAACACUGUGGAAGCUGUCAUGGGCCGGGCCGAACCCUCUUGGGACACAAAAGAUAUUAUUGAACUGUGCAAAGAAGAGCUCCACUUCCUUCAAUCUGUU
rnacentral:lncRNA from 1 species